AAUGUUACAAUUGUUGCCGGUAUGGUC
rnacentral:sRNA from 1 species